rnacentral:rRNA from 2 species
GCAAGUCGAACGGGCUGGAUACUGACGUAAGUUGGUAACCAGUUAGUGGCGAACGGGUGAGUAAAAGGUAGGGACCUAUCCUGAGGACAGAGAUAGCUACUGGAAACGGUAGGUAAACUCUGAUAAGCCCGAGAGGGGAAAGUGAAAGACAGCCUUAGGAGGGACUUACUAUCCAUCAGGUAGUUGGUUAGGUAAAGGCUGACCAAGCCUAUGACGGAUAACCGGUGUGAGAGCAUGUACGGUCACAAGGGCACUGAGACACGGGCCCUACUCCUACGGGAGGCAGCAGUGAGGAAUCUUGGACAAUGGGCGAAAGCCUGAUCCAGCGACGCCGCGUGAAGGAAGAAGUCCUUCGGGAUGUAAACUUCUGAAUUAGCCGAAUAAGAGGGUAGCGGAUACGCUACAGAAGAAGGUAGGCUAAGAAAAGUCCCGGCUAACUACGUGCCAGCAGCCGCGGUAAGACGUAGGGGGCGAGCGUUGCCCGGAAUUACUGGGUGUAAAGGGGGCGUAGGCGGACUAAGAAGUCAUCUGUGAAAACCUAUUGCUCAACGAUAGGCUUGCGGAUGAAACUGGUAGUCUUGAGUGCACCAGAGGUAGACGGAAUUACCUGAGUAGGGGUGAAAUCCGCAGAUACAGGUAAGAAGGCCGGUGGAGAAGUCGGUCUACUGGGGUGUAACAGACGCUGAGGCCCGAAAGCUAGGGGAGCGAACCGGAUUAGAUACCCGGGUAGUCCUAGCCGUAAACGAUGCUCACUAGGUGUAGGGAGUAAUAAGCUCUCUGUGCUGAAGCGAACGCGAUAAGUGAGCCACCUGGGGAGUAC